rnacentral:rRNA from 1 species
CAGGCUCAGGACGAACGCUGGCGGCGUGCUUAAUACAUGCAAGUCGAGCGGACCAAUUAGAAAGCUUGCUUUUUAAUUGGUUAGCGGCGGACGGGUGAGUAACACGUGGGUAACCUGCCCUAUAGACCGGGAUAACUCGCGGAAACGCGUGCUAAUACCGGAUAACACACCGAAGCGCAUGCUUCGGGGUUGAAAGAUGGUUCUGCUAUCACUAUAGGAUGGGCCCGCGGCGCAUUAGCUAGUUGGUGGGGUAACGGCCUACCAAGGCGACGAUGCGUAGCCGACCUGAGAGGGUGAUCGGCCACACUGGGACUGAGACACGGCCCAGACUCCUACGGGAGGCAGCAGUAGGGAAUCUUCCACAAUGGGCGAAAGCCUGAUGGAGCAACGCCGCGUGAGCGAAGAAGGUCUUCGGAUCGUAAAGCUCUGUUGUAAGGGAAGAACAAGCGCAGCAGUCACUGGCUGCGCCCUGACGGUACCUUACUAGAAAGCCACGGCUAACUACGUGCCA